AUUAAAGUGGCAGAAAAAUGUGUUGGAUUUAAGCUCCAUUUAUGAAAUAUUCCUUUAAUA
rnacentral:tRNA from 1 species